GCGCCGGUGGUGUAAUGGCGUAGAGCAUUCCCACCCGGUUAGGCGGAGGUGCGGGUUCGAGUCCCGCCCGGCGCU
rnacentral:tRNA from 1 species